AAGGUAGCAUAAUAAAUUGACUUUUAAUUGAAGCCUUGAAUGAAAGGAUAAAUGAGUAGUUACUAUAUUAUAUUAAUUUAUUAUAAUUUGUUUAAAAGGUGAAAAUCCCUUUAUUAAGUAUAAUAGACGAGAAGACCCUAGGAGUUUAUAAAAUUAUUUUGUUGGGGCAACAUUAUAGCAUUUAAUCUAUAAUUAUAAAUUAGUAAAACGAGACUUUCUAAUAAUAACUAAACUACCCUAGGGAUAACAGCAUAAAGUUUGUGACCUCGAUGUUGGACUAGGGAAUUUAAAGUUAACAGCGUUAAAUGAUAGUUCUGUUCGAACUUAUUUACCU
rnacentral:rRNA from 1 species